rnacentral:ribozyme from 13 species
AAAUGAGAAGAAAAAAAGUUUCAAACAACCUCUCUCACAUUUCCUCUUAUCUCUCUCAUCAUCAAUUCUUUCCUUUCUUUCAUUUUUUUCUUUCCUCUUCUUUUACUUCUUUGGCAAAGUUGUCUUAA